rnacentral:lncRNA from 10 species
CCGGAUUCGGAUUCGUGGCCCUCCCCUGAGUUCUUGCCAGGAGGCUUCUCGCCCGGUUCAAAUUGUUACAAAGGUCAGCUAGAGAAUUCCCUCUCCCUGAAGUGUUUUACCCUCUGCUCCUCUGGCCACACUACCGAUGGAUCCCUGUGGUACCAGGCAGGAAUGAUUGGCUUGGGGACCCAGCAAGCUCCAAGGGCCUUUCUUGCUGCUUCCUCUACCCUGUAUUUCACUCCGCUCUAUAAAUUGACUCAGCUCCAGCACUCUUCUUUCCUGCCAUCAUGUGAAGAGAGAAGUGUUUUCUUCCCCUUCUGCCGGGAUUGUAAGUUUCCUGAGGCUGCUUCAGCCAUGCACAACUCAUUAACUCGUAACUGAUGGAAGUAGAGCCAGAAAGGAGGCUUCAGGAAAAAUACAAAAUUUUCAUCUCCACUUCUACAUUGAUCUGAAUGAACAGAGUCUCGCUGUCUCGCUCAAGCUGGAGUGCAAUGGCAUGAUCUCGGCUCACUGCAACCUCCGCCUCCCGGGUUCAAGCAAUUCUCUCAGCCUCCUGAGUUGCUGGGAUUACAGAUGCGCACCACCAUGCCCGGCUAAUUUUUGUAGUUUUAGUAGAGACGGGGUUUCACCAUGUUGGCCAGGAAUUGUAACAUUUUUAAAAAAUAUAUUUCACAAAGAAGGAUAUGAUUAGAAAUUAGUAAUUCCCCCUUCUAAUCACAGGACAAAAAUAUAAAUUAAGCACAAAGGAAUUCUUCAUAGUCAGAGCCUUAAAUAACUCUGCUCAAAGAUAAACCAAAGGAAAUAUAUCAUUGUAAGGCGUUAGAUUUUUUCUGAGGAACUAAUCAGAGCUUGAAAAUCAAUCUGCUUGAUUUUGGAAUCCGGCUUUCCUACUGCUACUUAAUUGUUGUAUACCUUAGUUUCCUAUCUAUGAAAUGGAGCUAACAAUAGCACCUGUCUCAUAAUUAUUGUUAAGAAUUGAGUGAGCCGGUGUAUAUAAACCUGUUGUCAUGGUGCUUGUGACAUAAAAUAGUUCAAUUAGUGUUCAGUGUGUUAACACAUUUUAAGACAAAAUUGCAAGUAUGGUAGAAGUAAUUGCUUGUCUUUAAAAUAAUUUUUACAAGUUAAUGAGGAAAAAAAUAACAUGAUGAACGGGAAAUAGGCAAACAAAAGAGGAAAUAUCAUUAGUACUUAAAUGUAUAAUUUUAAAAAUUCUAUUUCAGUUGCACAAUGAUACUAAUGCAAAAUAAAGGAAAAUGAAAAAUCAUGUUCUAUGCAUCCAUUAAAUAAGAUAUAGUGAAUAAUAUUUAUAUGGGAAAAUGUGAUAUACAGUGGCUUAUCCUUUAUUGAUGGUGACUUUGUAAUUGUACAACUGUAUUGGAUAUACAUUAGGCAAUCUGUAUCAACAGCUAUUUUAGGUUAAUUAUCUUUGAUCAGUAAUACCAAUACUGUGAAUCUUGUGUAAUGAAAUAACACCAGUAUGAAAACAAAUUCACAAAUAGACUCUAAUAAAGAAAUUCUUACAUAAUUAAUAGUUUAUUUACAUAAGAAUAUUGUAUACAAUUCAAAACUAAGCACUAUAAAAUUUACAUUAAAAAGGAAGAUACUUUUUUUUAAGUUGAAAAAAGGGAUAGAUAUUGUAAGUAUGGAAAAAAGGACAAAAGAAAUCUUAAAUUGAGGAACAGCAUCACAUCACAGUGUAUUAAACUGGUAGCAUUUUGAGUGACUUCAUUUAUUGUUCUUUCUCUCUUCUGUAAAAUGAUUAUAAUAUUUUUGUAAUUUCAAAAAUUGCUUAAAAUAUACAUUAUACCAUAUGAAUGAUAUUAAAUAAGUUGGUAAUUAUGUACAUUCGUUUGUAAUGGAAAGUCAUAUUGAGAAUACACUGUGGCAGACCAAAUGAGAAAUAUAACCAGAAUUGUCUGAAAAUUAAUUUUUUAAGCCUCAAAAACAAACACAGGUUAAAAGCACAGUUCUUGUCCUGUAUUUAGGUAUAAAUUGUUAUAAACUGAAAUUAUUAAGAAAUACAGGACCAUCACAUGAGUUUGAAGUUUGAAGUAGAGGGAUUAGACAGGAACAACAAGGUAUAUGUCUAUAUAUACCUUACAUAUAUAUAUAUGUGUGUGUGUGUAUAUAUAUAUAUAUAUAUAUAAAGUAUUUCAUAUAUGAACAAUAAAUAAUGUGAAAUUAUAUGUUAUUGUUUGGGAAUUCUAUAAUGAAAUAAUUGCUACCUUCAUCUAGAGUGUAUCACAAAUCAGGCGUUAUAUUCCACCUAAAUUUUAAAGCUUUAAAGCACAGUAUCUUUUAAAUAAACUUUUGGGACAUAUAAGGGGAAUGAUUAAGCUCAAUUUAGGAGUUCAGAUGAUACUUCUAACAGAAGUUGAUGUCUUAGCCAAAACUUGAAGGAUGAGGAAAAUUUGCCAAACCAAAAAUGCUGAGGCAAAUAAUACAGCAUUAUAAUAGAGAAGAGAUAUUGGAGAAAGAAAUAUCAGUGUAUUUGGAAAGAGAUGAAGCAGUUCAGUAUUAUUAAAAUGUAAAUUACCAGGCAGGGAUAUUAAGAGAAGAAAACAGAAAAAUAACCAGGUCAUGGGAAACCAUGUAUGAAAUAUUUAGAAAUAUAAGCUCAAUAGUUCUUGCCUCACUUUGGGUCACAGACCUCUGAUUACCUGAUGACAGUAAUUAACUCUUUUCCCCUUAACAUUGUAUACAUAAAUAAAUGCACUCAAUUAUUUUGCAUACAAUUGUAGGGAGUUCACUGAACACCUGAAAUCUGUUAAUUGACUCCCUGAAUCCCGUGACAGGUGAAAAACGAAACAAACUAUAACAGAAAAAUAAAAAACUGGUCUCAUUAAUGAGGCAACAAUUAUGACAGAAAAAGGAGCUAUGAUUUCAGUAAAUCUUUCUUGUUUCAAUUUUGGAAAUAUAUUCCAACUGAACCCACCACUUCCCAUUUCCAAUACCCCCACCCAAACGGAAGCCACUGUUUAGCUAUCUGCUUAUUUCACUGUUUCCAUUCUGCCCUCCCAUAAUCUGUUAUUUGUAUUGUAGCCAAAGUGAUACAUCUAAAAAGGAUAUCAAAUAAUGGUACCCACUGAUUAAGACUCUAAUGGCAUUUGUUUUUGCGCUUAGAUUAAACCCAUAGUAAGUACUAUGUCCCCAAACUCUUGUGCUCUGGCCUGGGUCAACUCCCAACCUUACUUGGAACCAUGCUCUCCUGCUGUAUCUACUUUCUAGCUUAUUGGAUUCUUCCGCCCCUUCAGCUACCUGGAUUUGUUCCCAACUCAGGUCUUUGCAUCUGCUUUUUCCUCUGCCCCAAAUGCUUCCCCCAACUUUCUCAUUCAUUCCCUAUCAUUAAAAUUCCAACUCAAGUGUUUACUCCUGUGACAGGAAUUCCUUGAAAACCCAGCAAAACUCUGCUACCUUUAAGUUACUAUUUCAAUAAUCUAUUUUUAUAUCAAUUACUAAUAGCUGAUAUGUCAUGAUUGUUCAAUUAUGUACCUAGUGACUCUUCUGUCUUUCUCUACUUGCAUCCCCCUAAGUAUAAUUUAACUGUUUUUCUUCUCAACAUCCUUAAAUGCUCCGCACAUAGUAGGUAGUCAAUAGAUGUUAGAUAAGUCAAUUUCUCUGAAUAAUUGUGACUCUUAACUAUUCAGUAUUUAGAUCUAAGUAAAAAGAAAUAUUAGAUUGCAUAUAUGUCCUGAACAAACGUGUUAAGUGAAUGCAUUAUAUCUUUUAGCAAUUAUUUUAUGCUGACAUUUCUGAGAACAAGAAACCUUUGCAAUAGAUAUGGUUCCUAUAAAGACUUAAGCAAUUUUAUCUUAAAGUUUGCAAUUUCUGUACAUCUAAAGGGAACUAAAAUUAUCUGUAUUUUUCUUAUCUGGGUCCUCUGCCAAAUUUUUUUCCUGCUUAUUUGAAGUAUAAAACAAACAUUGCUGAAAAUUCUAUCGACACUGCUACCUAUUGUGAAUAAUACUGCAAUACUAUAUAGUCCGUCUCAAGUAUUAGAA